GAACCCAAGUCUACCAGCCU
rnacentral:misc_RNA from 1 species